UGUUCUUAUUCGCUGACAUUUGUUUUCCAAUUGCGUGAAAUUUGGUCAUUUCCUUAGUGUUUCGCUGACCGACCUGUGCUGGUAUUGUGAUUAAGAGCUAAUACACAUUUUUCGGACGAUUCUGCUGUGCUGCGUUCCUGCUCCGCCUGUAUUUUAUAGUGUUGCGUUCCUGUUGCGCCUUUGCAUUAGUGUGUGCGUUGUGAUUUAGACACGUUGAAAUUUUUUGUAUGCUUCUGCUGUGCUGCGUUCCUGCUCCACCCGUGUAUUAGAUUGCUGCGUUCCUGUUAACAUACAUAUCGUCGCUUAAAGUACAAAACCGCGUAACUGACAUUUGCUGCUAAAAAUUGGAUUCGCUCACACACGUUUUUGGAUCAAUCCUUAUCCAUUCUUCCUGAAAUAUACUAGCCAAAAAUGCGAUUGCUUUUUACAAAAAGAUAACCAUUUUGAAAUAUGAGUGUUUUUACUCUCUAGAAAUUAAUUUAUGCAACCUCGCAUACGUGGGUUUGCAUUAUCUCUAUACGCGGUUUUGCAAUUUAUUGAUACAUGGUUUUGUACUUUAAACGACGAUAUGUA